UUCAAUCAGGGAUCAGUUUCUAAUGUAUCAAAGAUUUGAUGAUGACAAGACCCAGAGACUGCAUUGAAUCAUCCAGCCAAUGAUCUUUCAGGAAUCAACUUCUGACCACAUUUAUUUGAGAUGCCAACAACACACUUCAGCAUCAUCAAAGAAUCCUCUCAGGCCAUUCAAAGUCCAAGAACAAAAAAAGGUUGUGCAGAUUGUCAAAAUAAGAGGGGCCACCACCAUGCGAUCAUUACAGGUUCCUUUCUUACAACACACC
rnacentral:lncRNA from 1 species